rnacentral:rRNA from 1 species
CGGCGGACGGGUGAGUAAUGCUUAGGAAUCUGCCUAUUAGUGGGGGACAACAUUCCGAAAGGAAUGCUAAUACCGCAUACGUCCUACGGGAGAAAGCAGGGGACCUUCGGGCCUUGCGCUAAUAGAUGAGCCUAAGUCGGAUUAGCUAGUUGGUGGGGUAAAGGCCUACCAAGGCGACGAUCUGUAGCGGGUCUGAGAGGAUGAUCCGCCACACUGGGACUGAGACACGGCCCAGACUCCUACGGGAGGCAGCAGUGGGGAAUAUUGGACAAUGGGGGGAACCCUGAUCCAGCCAUGCCGCGUGUGUGAAGAAGGCCUUUUGGUUGUAAAGCACUUUAAGCGAGGAGGAGGCUACUAGUAUUAAUACUACUGGAUAGUGGACGUUACUCGCAGAAUAAGCACCGGCUAACUCUGUGCCAGCAGCCGCGGUAAUACAGAGGGUGCGAGCGUUAAUCGGAUUUACUGGGCGUAAAGCGUGCGUAGGCGGCUGAUUAAGUCGGAUGUGAAAUCCCUGAGCUUAACUUAGGAAUUGCAUUCGAUACUGGUCAGCUAGAGUAUGGGAGAGGAUGGUAGAAUUCCAGGUGUAGCGGUGAAAUGCGUAGAGAUCUGGAGGAAUACCGAUGGCGAAGGCAGCCAUCUGGCCUAAUACUGACGCUGAGGUACGAAAGCAUGGGGAGCAAACAGGAUUAGAUACCCUGGUAGUCCAUGCCGUAAACGAUGUCUACUAGCCGUUGGGGCCUUUGAGGCUUUAGUGGCGCAGCUAACGCGAUAAGUAGACCGCCNNNGGAG